rnacentral:rRNA from 1 species
GGUCAAGCGAAUCAAGCGCAUACGGUGGAUGCCUUGGCGGUAAGAGGCGAUGAAGGACGUGGUAGUCUGCGAUAAGCCCCGGGUAGCCGGCAAACAGGCAUUGAUCCGGGGAUUUCCGAAUGGGGAAACCCGCCGCAUUUAUGCGGCAUUGCGCGCUGAAUCCAUAGGCGCGUGAAGCGAACCUGGCGAACUGAAACAUCUAAGUAGCCAGAGGAAAAGAAAUCAACCGAGAUUCCCCAAGUAGCGGCGAGCGAACGGGGAACAGCCAGCACUCUUUAGUCUGCAGUCCAGUUGAACGGUCUGGAAAGUCCGGCCAUAGCGGGUGACAGCCCCGUAGGCGAAAGACUACAGACAGAACCAGGUGUGCGACAAGUAGGGCGGGGCACGUGAAACCCUGUCUGAACAUGGGGGGACCAUCCUCCAAGGCUAAAUACUCCUUACCGACCGAUAGCGAACCAGUACCGUGAGGGAAAGGCGAAAAGAACCCCUGUUAGGGGAGUGAAAUAGAACCUGAAACCGUGUGCGUACAAGCAGUGGGAGCCUUUUGUGCCGGAGCAAUCCGGUGCAGGGGUGACCGCGUACCUUUUGUAUAAUGGGUCAGCGAGUUACUUUUCGCGGCAAGGUUAACCGUGUAGGGGAGCCGUAGCGAAAGCGAGUCUUAACCGGGCGCAAGUCGCGUGAAGUAGACCCGAAACCGGACGAUCUAUCCAUGGCCAGGUUGAAGGUGGGGUAAUACUCACUGGAGGACCGAACCAACUGAUGUUGAAAAAUCAGUGGAUGAGCUGUGGAUAGGAGUGAAAGGCUAAACAAGUCCGGAGAUAGCUGGUUCUCACCGAAAACUAUUUAGGUAGUGCCUCGUGUUUCACUCUCGGGGGUAGAGCACUGUUAUGGCUAGGGCUGCACCUCGCGGUACCAAACCAUUGCAAACUCCGAAUACCGGGAAGUGCAAUCACGGGAGACAGACUGCGGGAGAUAAGUUUCGUAGUCGAAAGGGAAACAGCCCAGACCGCCGACUAAGGUCCUCAAAUCACAGCUCAGUGGGAAACGAUGUGGGAAGGCCCAGACAGCCAGGAGGUUGGCUUAGAAGCAGCCAUCCUUUAAAGAAAGCGUAAUAGCUCACUGGUCGAGUCGGCCUGCGCGGAAGAUGUA